UAGCAUAUGCUUGACUUGGAGAUUAAGCCAUGCAUGUCUAAGUAUAGUUAUAUACAGCGAAACUGCGAAUGGCUCAUUACAUCAGUUAUAAUUUAUUUGAUAAUCGAAAGUUACAUGGAUAACCGUGACAAAUUACAGCUAAUACAUGCAGUCAGACCUGGUCCAAGGGUCGUAAUUAUUAGUAUUAAACCAUUUCCGCAAGGAGUGUGAUGAAUCAUAAUAAUCGAACGAAUCGCCUGGUGUGCGAUAAAUCAUUCAAGUUUCUGCCCUAUCAGCUUUGGAUGGUAGUGUAUUGGACUACCAUGGCAGUCACGGGUAACGGAGAAUUAGGGUUCGAUUCCGGAGAGGGAGCCUGAGAAACGGCUACCACAUCUACGGAAGGCAGCAGGAGCGAAAAUUGCCCAAUCCCGACACGGGGAGGCAGUGACGAGAAAUAACAACUCUUGGUUAUUCUAAGAAGUGUAAUGAGGAUAAUUUAAAACCCUUACCGAAAGCAAUUGGAGGGCAAGUCUGGUGCCAGCAGCCGCGGUAAUUCCAGCUCCAAUAGCGUAUAUUAAAGUUGUUGCAGUUAAAAAGCUCGUAGUUGAAGUUCUGGCUGUUCGAUCCUCGAGCUCUGUAGCCGAGGACUCGACAGUCAUCCGCUUGCAAAUAUAUGUUCGCCUUUAACCGGGCGGCUAUAUGAGUAAGCAAUUUACCUUGAGAAAAACAGAGUGUUCCAGGCAGGUUUGUCCGGAAUGCAUUAGCAUGGAAUAAUAGAAUAUGACUGAAGUCGAUUUAUUGGUUUGAGGCUUUAGUAAUGAUUAAUAGGAACAGUCGGGGGCAUUGGUACUUGACAGUCAGAGGUGAAAUUCUAGGAUUUGUCAAAGACUAACAAAUGCGAAAGCAUUUGCCAAGGAUGUUUUCAUUAAUCAAGAACGAAAGUUAGGGGAUCAAAGACGAUCAGAUACCGUCCUAGUCUUAACUAUAAACUAUACCGACUCGGAUUCAGAUGAAUCAUAAAGUUCAUUUGGGACCGUAGGAGAAAUCAAAGUUUUUGGGUUCUGGGGGAAGUAUGGUCGCAAGGCUGAAACUUAAAGGAAUUGACGGUUUUGCACCACCAUGGAGUGGAGUCUGCGGCUUAAUUUGACAACACUGGGAAACUCAUCAGGGCAAGAAGAUUGUAGGAUUGACAGAUUGAGAGUUCUUUCUUGAUUGGUCUAGUGGUGGUGCAUGGCCGUUCUUAGUUGGUGGAGUGAUUUGUCUGGUUAAUUCCGUUAACGAACGAGACCUUAACCUGCUAACUAGUACACAGAUGACAAAUCUGUGAUACUUCUUAGAGGGACUAUGUGAUGUAAUCACAUGGAAGUUUGAGGCAAUAACAGGUCUGUGAUGCCCUUAGAUGUCCUGAGCUGCACGCGUACUACAAUGGUGCUUUCAACGAGCUUUUCCUGAUCCGAAAGGAUUUGGGUAAUCUUUUUAGUGAGCACCGUGCUUGGGAUAGAUCUUUGUAAUUAUGGAUCUUGAACUAGGAAUUCCUAGUAAGCGCGCGUCAUCAGCGCGUGCUGAUUACGUCCCUGCAAAAUGUACACACCGCC
rnacentral:rRNA from 1 species